rnacentral:rRNA from 1 species
CAAUAGCGUAUAUUAAAGUUGUUGCAGUUAAAAAGCUCGUAGUUGGAUUUGUGGUUCGUCCCGCCGGCUGGGUCAUUGACUUUUGCUGUGCUGGUCGUCCAUCCUUGGGUGGAAUCUGUGUGGCAUUAGGUUGUCGCGCAGGGGAUGCCCAUCGUUUACUGUGAAAAAAUUAGAGUGUUCAAAGCAGGCUUAUGCCGUUGAAUAUAUUAGCAUGGAAUAAUGAUAUAGGACCUUGGUACUAUUUUGUUGGUUUGCGCACUGAGGUAAUGAUUAAUAGGGACAGUUGGGGGUAUUCGUAUUCCAUUGUAAGAGGUGAAAUUCCUGGAUUUUUGGAAGACGAACUACUGCGAAAGCAUUUACCAAGGAUGUUUUCAUUAA